rfam:TPA: Bos taurus chromosome 17, whole genome shotgun sequence.
UCCUGGGUAGCUCAAACGGUAAAGAAUCUGCCUGUAAUGCAGGAGACCUGGGUUCGACCCCUGGGUCGGGAA